AUGGCCAUGUCACAUUCAAAGCUUAGUUCUCAUUCGAUCACCAGAGUUAAGCAAUAUUGAGCCUGGUCAGUAUUUAUAUGGGUGACCUCUUGGGAAUACUCCUUACUGUA